rnacentral:rRNA from 1 species
GAUGAACGCUAGCGGGAGGCUUAAUACAUGCAAGUCGAGGGGCAGCGCGAGACACUUCGGUGACUUGGCGGCGACCGGCGCACGGGUGCGUAACGCGUACACAACAUACCUUAUACAGGAGAAUAGCCCUUGGAAACGAGGAUUAAUGCUCCAUGGUAACAUAAUGCCGCAUGGUAUAAUGUUUAAAGUUCCGACGGUAUAAGAUUGGUGUGCGUACUAUUAGAUAGUUGGUGAGGUAACGGCUCACCAAGUCAAUGAUAGUUAGGGGGCGUGAGAGCGUGGUCCCCCACACGGGUACUGAGACACGGACCCGACUCCUACGGGAGGCAGCAGUAAGGAAUAUUGGACAAUGGAGGCAACUCUGAUCCAGCCAUCCCGCGUGCAGGAUGACGGCCCUCUGGGUUGUAAACUGCUUUUAGACAGGAAGAACCGCUUUCAUUUAUGAGAGUUUGACGGUACUGUCAGAAUAAGCACCGGCUAAUUCCG